GACGAACGCUGGCGGCGUGCUUAACACAUGCAAGUCGAACGAUGAAGUUCCUUCGGGAAUGGAUUAGUGGCGAACGGGUGAGGAACACGUGAGAGACCUGCCCAUCAUUCUGGGAUAACACCGGGAAACCGGUGCUAAUACCGGAUACUCCAUCGCGGCGGCAUCGCUGCGCUGGGAAAGAAUUUCGAUGAUGGAUGGUCUCGCGGCCUAUCAGCUUGUUGGUGAGGUAAUGGCUCACCAAGGCGACGACGGGUAGCCGGCCUGAGAGGGCGACCGGCCACACUGGGACUGAGACACGGCCCAGACUCCUACGGGAGGCAGCAGUGGGGAAUAUUGGGCAAUGGACGCAAGUCUGACCCAGCGACGCCGCGUGAGGGAUGAAGGCCUUCGGGUUGUAAACCUCUUUCAGUGGGGAAGAAGCGAAAGUGACGGUACCCAAAGAAGAAGCACCGGCUAACUAUGU
rnacentral:rRNA from 1 species